rnacentral:sRNA from 13 species
CGGACGGUCCGGAGUCAGUGGGUUAUCCAAAAUUUGAAACCCUCCCAUUGACACCAACUUGACCGUUUGU